CAGCUCGGAGCAGCUGUGCCUGCUGUGAGCCCUGGGGCCACUGCUCCCGCUGCCGGCCCGGGACGAAGCUGAGAAAAGUCAACGCAAAGGGCGAGCUAAAGGGACGGCAGCAACGCUGAGAUGCGGGAUGCUUCUGCCAGCUGCCUGGUGUGAGGCACCAGGGCAGACUCGUGUUUUUGGGGCUCACUCCCAUUUAAAAUGUGCCUCUGUAAAAGCAGCAUUUCACGGUGGGCGCUAUACGGAGCGUAACCUGCCGCUGACUCUUGCAAGGUGUUUCUGGAGCUGAAAGAGGUGCAAUGAGCCGGAGUGACACGAAGGAGUUAAUUGUAUGGAUUUUGCUAACCCUCCAGUAGCUGCUGAUUAACCCAGAUAUUGUAGUGCUUAUCAGUGUCACUUCCAGGGCAUUGCUGGUGAAGCAUUUAUCUUUUUAACUUGCUUGUGCUCCCUGCUCCUGCCUGCGUCAGAAGCACAACAGGGCACGGAAAGCAAAGCAGAGGCUCAGACUGAACGAAAACGGAGAGCGCUGAGAAAAGAUGGAGGGGCUGGACACUGCCAGGACAAUAGACAAAGCUGCACUGCUUAUGAUAAAGUCCGUGGUGAUCAAAUGCAAAAGAAAAGCAAAGCCCUGGAGGGGAAGGAUGCCAUAACCAGUACCAGAAGGAGAGGACCUUCCAGGAGGCAGUGGAGUGGGAUGAGUGGCUCACCGGUGUCCCUGAAGGAACUAUGUCUUGGAGAGGCAGCCUGGGAGGGCCGGCAGCUUGGUAAGCAUUCAAAUGCACAUGGGUGUGCCUGUAUACUGACAACAAAACUUACCUCAUGGCUGGGAUUAACCUAUUUAAAAUGCCAAUCUCUGUACUCUUAAAUAGUCACUAUGAUGUUUACUGUCCUUCCAGAAGAGGAGCAGGAGAGAAUUAUUCCUGGAAAGAUGGUGGUACCCUUUGCCAAGUCCCACUGACACCGCGUAGUUCUCUGGGGAAGAACAGCAGUGUGAAAUUGAGGCUUCUGUUCCUAUAAACAUCCACAUUUGUAUGCUGUGAGUGUAGCAGUCAUUUUGGCGGUGUUCUAGUAAAGGAUUAAAAAAUAAUUAGGAUUUAUAUAUGUUCAAAAGGAAGGGGCACAGUGCAGUGAGUCACAAGGAGGUGAUUAAGUCAGGUUGUCUGACUCUUCCUAUACUGACAGCAGUAUGUCUGAGGGUUUAGGAAAAUAGCUGAUAGCCUAUUACCGUGAUGAAGUGUAGUUUAAAACUACAUUUUAUAUUUUAGAGGACUAACAGACAAGGUCCCUACGGAUUGUUCCAUAUUACAUAAAAUGGCUAUAGAAACUGAACCA
rnacentral:lncRNA from 1 species